CGAUUGUUAUAAAAGCCAAAGCUUGGUAGAAGGAUCAUCGCACAUCAGGAGAACGAGGUAGAGAGGGAAUAAAAGGAAAAUGCUUCCAAAGACGUUCCUCCUACUCUAUCUGCUCCUCCUCUCCACCUCAUCCAUUCCAUCGGGGAUGGCUGCCAGGAAUCUUGCUCAGGAUGGGACCGUGGACCAGAGGACUUUCGUCGGAUAUCCUGUCACAUAUAAUCGUCGACCCCUGGUCCCGAAAUCACCCGCGGGGCAACCUUAUCCUCGACCCCCGGUCCCGAAAUCACCCGGAGGGAAACGUCACCGUCGUCGAUGCAAGAAGAUCCAUAACCAUAAGUGUCGUCCCCCGGUCCCAUAGCUUCAGAGUAAAGCACGGGGCAUACUACCAGUGGCUGCUGCGGCCGGUCCAACCCCUUGAAAUGGACGUAUGAACUAAAAUAAGCGGCAGCAUAAUGGAGGUCGUGUUCGGUUAAUCUGUUGUACGUGUACGGUGCACUAAUGGCAAAUGUAUUAUAGCGCCUUUUAAAGUUCCGUUCUAUGGUCCCUCUUAUCCACUUCUUUAUUGCUA